rnacentral:rRNA from 1 species
UUAAGGUUACUACUUAAGGCGGGGAAGAACCUUCUAUCCGAGAGGACCAUUAGUAGGAGCUACAACGCCGAAAUGACCUUCUCACCCUUGUGUACUCACUAUGUUGCUUUGGCGGGUCGACCUGGUUCCGACCCAGGCGGCCGGCGCCCCCAGCCUUAACUGGCCAGGACGCCCGGCUAAGUGCCCGCCAGUAUACAAAACUCAAGAAUUCAUUUUGUGAAGUCCUGAUAUAUCAUUUAAUUGAUUAAAACUUUCAACAACGGAUCUCUUGGUUCUGGCAUCGAUGAAGAACGCAGCGAAAUGCGAUAAGUAAUGUGAAUUGCAGAAUUCAGUGAAUCAUCGAAUCUUUGAACGCACAUUGCGCCCUCUGGUAUUCCGGAGGGCAUGCCUGUUCGAGCGUCAUUUCAACCCUCAAGCUCUGCUUGGUAUUGGGCAACGUCCGCUGCCGGACGUGCCUUGAAGACCUCGGCGACGGCGUCCUAGCCUCGAGCGUAGUAGUAAAAUAUCUCGCUUUGGAGUGCUGGGCGACGGCCGCCGGACAAUCGACCUUCGGUCUAUUUUUCCAAGGUGACCUCGGAUCAGGUAGGGAUACCCGCUGAACUUAAGCAUAUCAUACGGGGGGGGAA